rnacentral:rRNA from 1 species
UGGGGAAUAUUGGACAAUGGGGGGAACCCUGAUCCAGCCAUGCCGCGUGUGUGAAGAAGGCCUUAUGGUUGUAAAGCACUUUAAGCGAGGAGGAGGGUACUGGUAUUAAUACUACCAGGUACUGGACGUUACUCGCAGAAUAAGCACCGGCUAACUCUGUGCCAGCAGCCGCGGUAAUACAGAGGGUGCGAGCGUUAAUCGGAUUUACUGGGCGUAAAGCGUGCGUAGGCGGCUAAUUGAGUCGGAUGUGAAAUCCCCGAGCUUAACUUAGGAAUUGCAUUCGAUACUGGUUAGCUAGAGUGUGGGAGAGGAUGGUAGAAUUCCAGGUGUAGCGGUGAAAUGCGUAGAGAUCUGGAGGAAUACCGAUGGCGAAGGCAGCCAUCUGGCCUAACACUGACGCUGAGGUACGAAAGCAUGGGGAGCAAACAGG